GUGGAGGAGGACGCCGAAGGUGGGGCUAAUGACUGGGGUGAAGUCGUAACAAGGUAGCCGUACCGGAAGGUGCGGCUGGAUCACCUCCUAACAGGGAGACAACAAAAUGUUUAAUAUUAUUAUUUUGUCACCUUAGGUCGAUCGGUAUCUCACGUUCUUAAUUUAUUAAGAAUUUCAUUUUCUAAGUUUUUCUAGGUCACACCCAUUUUUUUCCUGGGCCAUUAGCUCAGGUGGUUAGAGCGCACCCCUGAUAAGGGUGAGGUCCCUGGUUCAAGUCCAGGAUGGCCCAUAUCUCUAUGUUGGGGGUAUAGCUCAGUUGGUAGAGCGCCUGCUUUGCAAGCAGGAUGUCAGCGGUUCGAGUCCGCUUACCUCCACUGAUUACCACCUCUGCCAUAUUUUGUUAAAAGGGAACAUUUUGAGUUGUGAUUAAAUUCUGAACGAAUCUAGCUUCCUAAUGAAAUCAUUAAGAUGCUGGACUCAUUGAAUAAUUUUCAUUGUUUUCAGAGAACCUUGACAACUGCAUAGAUUUUUUUAAAGACAAUAAGCAUCUUUAAUGAUGCAGAUUUAUUAUUUGUGCGAAUGCAUUAAAUAACAAUUCUAUUAAGCUGAUGCUUCAAUUUUGAAGUUAUUGGUCAAGCUACAAAGGGCUCACGGAGGAUACCUAGGCAC
rnacentral:misc_RNA from 1 species